AUAACACUUGGAAACAGGUGCUAAUACCGCAUAACCAUAGUUACCGCAUGGUAACUAUGUAAAAGGUGGCUAUGCUACCGCUUUUGGAUGGGCCCGCGGCGCAUUAGCUAGUUGGUGGGGUAAAGGCUUACCAAGGCAAUGAUGCGUAGCCGAACUGAGAGGUUGAUCGGCCACAUUGGGACUGAGACACGGCCCAAACUCCUACGGGAGGCAGCAGUAGGGAAUCUUCCACAAUGGGCGAAAGCCUGAUGGAGCAACGCCGCGUGGGUGAAGAAGGUCUUCGGAUCGUAAAACCCUGUUGUUAGAGAAGAAAGUGCGUGAGAGUAACUGUUCACGUUUCGACGGUAUCUAACCAGAAAGCCACGGCUAACUACGUGCCAGCAGCCGCGGUAAUACGUAGGUGGCAAGCGUUAUCCGGAUUUAUUGGGCGUAAAGGGAACGCAGGCGGUCUUUUAAGUCUGAUGUGAAAGCCUUCGGCUUAACCGGAGUAGUGCAUUGGAAACUGGGAGACUUGAGUGCAGAAGAGGAGAGUGGAACUCCAUGUGUAGCGGUGAAAUGCGUAGAUAUAUGGAAGAACACCAGUGGCGAAAGCGGCUCUCUGGUCUGUAACUGACGCUGAGGUUCGAAAGCGUGGGUAGCAAACAGGAUUAGAUACCCUGGUAGUCCACGCCGUAAACGAUGAAUGCUAAGUGUUGGAGAGUUUCCGCCCUUCAGUG
rnacentral:rRNA from 1 species